CAGAAGCAGCUACGGUUUUGUUGCGACUUUUGGGCGCCGCCCGGCAUCAUCCAAAGGCCAAAACUCGUUGCUCUUCGCUGCGUCGCCGUCGAGGCGAGAGAAGAGAAGAGGUGAGGAGAUGGCGAUCUGGGCCUUGUCGUUGACCUUGGUGUCCACGCUUCUGGCCCUAAUGCUCGCCUCCCUCUCCGUCGCGGUGAUCUCGAGGCGGCGGCGGCGGCGGCGGAGAGCCGUGGGGUUCUUCCAUCCCUACACCAACGACGGCGGCGGCGGCGAGCGGGUGCUCUGGUGCGCCGUGCGUGCCGUCCAAGAGGAGAAUCCCGAUCUCGACUGCGCCGUCUACACCGGCGACGACGCCUCGCCGCAGAGCCUCGCCGCCCGGGCCCUGGAUCGCUUCGGUGUUAAGCUCCUUCGCCCACCUCAGGUUAUUCACUUAUCUAGAAGGAAGUGGAUUGAUGAACGGACCUAUCCCCACUUCACUAUGAUUGGCCAGAGUCUUGGUUCGGUGUAUCUUUCAUUGGAGGCUCUGUGCAAAUUUACACCACAGUAUUAUUUUGACACGAGUGGUUAUGCUUUUACAUACCCACUUGCCCGGGUGUUUGGGUGCAAAGUUAUUUGCUAUACUCACUAUCCAACUAUAAGCUCAGACAUGGUUUCUCGUGUUCGCCAACGUAGUUCGAUGUACAAUAAUGAUGCUCUGAUUGCGAAAAGCAUUUGGCUAUCCCGAUGCAAAGUCCUCUACUAUACAUUCUUUAGUUGGUUGUAUGGGUUGGUUGGAUCCUGUGCACAUCUUGCAAUGGUGAAUUCAUCAUGGACAAGAUCUCAUAUUGAAAGGCUGUGGAAGAUUCCUGAACGUAUUAGGAGAGUAUAUCCUCCAUGUGAUACUUCAGCUCUUCAGCAGAUGCUUCCUUUGGAAAGGCCAGUCAAGUCUCCUGUCAUUAUAUCUGUUUCCCAAUUUCGCCCAGAAAAGGCUCAUGCUCUUCAGCUGGAGGCAUUCUCACUUGCUGUUCAAAGAUUAGACCUUGAGUUGCCCAGACCAAAGCUCCAAUUUGUUGGUAGUUGUCGAAAUACAGAGGACCAAGCAAGAUUACAAAAGCUUAAAGAUAGAUCUAGUGAGUUAAAUAUGGAUGAAUAUGUGGAGUUCCACAAGGAUGUGACAUACAGAGAAUUCCAUUUCCCUAUCAGUUGCUAUAUUUCUGGUUUCUUUGCCUUGUAUGCUCAAACAGGGAGUUGGUGCAGCUUCUGGGAGGUGCUGUAGCUGGGCUUCAUUCUAUGAUAGAUGAACAUUUUGGCAUCAGUGUAGUGGAGUACAUGGCUGCUGGUGCUAUUCCUAUUGCCCAUAAUUCAGCUGGACCAAAAAUGGAUAUUGUUUUAGAAGAAGAUGGAUGCCAAACAGGAUUUCUAGCUUCAGACAAAGAAGAAUAUGCUGAUGCAAUCCUUGAGAUCUUAAAGAUGCCAGAGAAUGAGAGGCUUGCUAUCGUGGCAGCUGCAAGAAAGCGUGCUCAGAGAUUUUCGGAGCAAAAAUUCUAUGAAGAUUUUAAGGCUGCAAUCGGCCCGAUCAUUUGUGGCUCGAGUGUUCCUUCAUGAGAUGGAGUGAAUCACUUAUCAUAUGAUCCUUUUCUUGAAAAGAAAGGCGUUGGAGCAAAUGACUUACUGAGUAUAGGCACAAAUUGUAACUGCUUGUCUGCUCAUGCUUGGACUAUAUUCUUCUAUGCUUCCAACUGAGAAAUGGAAAACUAUGGAGUGGGCAGCACCUCUUGAAUUUCUUAUUGAAGAGCUAGUAAGGGAUUCAUUUAUCAUGUCUGAGAUGCUGAAUCUUCUGACAACAAAUUUUUCGAUACAUCUAUGUACAAGAUUAGAAAGCAUUAGUGCAUACCUAUACUCUUAUUAUCAGUCUAAGAAGGGAAUGAUAUCAUAUUUCU